rnacentral:rRNA from 1 species
GACGAACGCUGGCGGCGUGCUUAACACAUGCAAGUCGAACGAUGAACCUCGAAAUGAUUUCUUCGGAAAGAUUUUUGAGAGGAUUAGUGGCGAACGGGUGAGUAACGCGUGAGCAACCUGCCUUAGACAAGGGGAUAGCCUCGGGAAACCGUGAUUAAUACGCUAUGAGACUCCACUUACGAGUGUAAGAGAAGUUAAAGCUAUUGCGGUCUAAGAUGGGCUCGCGUCUGAUUAGCUAGUUGGUGAGAUAAAAGCCCACCAAGGCGACGAUCAGUAACCGGGUUGAGAGAGUGAACGGUCACAUUGGAACUGAGACACGGUCCAAACUCCUACGGGAGGCAGCAGUGGGGAAUAUUGCACAAUGGGGGCAACCCUGAUGCAGCGACGCCGCGUGAGCGAUGAAGGAAUUCGUUUCGUAAAGCUCUGUCCUUGGAGAAGAUAAUGACGGUAACCAAGGAGGAAGCACCGGCUAAAUACGUG